GUGCUUCCCUUGGCAGCUCAUAUACCAAAACUGGAAGAAUUCAGAGAAGAUUAGCAUGGCUGCUGGGCAAAAAUGACAUACAAAUUUGUGAAGUGCUAAAUAUUACC